AAACACUAGCAUUAAAACAUGUUUUCAAAAUGAAGUUAAGUGGUGUUAUCUUCUUAGUUGUGCUUUUAACUCUUGUCCUGAUUUCUUCACAAGCAAGAAAUCUUCAAGCCUCUCUUCAACCCCAAAUUAAUAGCCGAACUGGACUGAUAUUUGAAACAAAAGCAACAGGAGAGGGGCCGAGGAGGGGCGGUUGUUGGAAGUGCUGGCAAGAAUAUGUUCAUCGUCGCCUAUAGACUUGGUAGUUUAAUCAUGUAUAGGACAUGGUUGAAUUGAUUCAUCUACGCAACUUUAAUACUAACUUAACAUAUUAACAUGAA